GUAAUGAUGAUAGUUAUUGUCGCCCCAGUCUUAAUUUGCUCCACCAGGUGUAAGAUGAUGAAUGACAUUCUUAUCUGAUCC
rnacentral:snoRNA from 1 species